UACGUAGGGAGCAAGCGUUGUCCGGAAUCAUUGGGCGUAAGCGCGCGUAGGUGGCUUCGUAAGUCCGUUGUGAAAGUCAAAGGCUCAACCUUUGAAAGCCGAUGGAUACUGCGGAGCUAGAGUACGGAAGAGGCGAGUGGAAUUCCUGGUGUACGCGGUGGAAUGCGCAGAUAUCAGGAGGAACACCAAUAGCGAAGGCAGCUCGCUGGGACGUUACUGACACUGAGGCGCGAAAGCGUGGGGAGCGAACAGG
rnacentral:rRNA from 1 species